AGAAAACAUUAUACAAUUUAGUUUGAACAAAACAAGAUUUGAAAGCGUCUGAAAAACAACAGGGAAUAUUUAGAAAAAUUUUUACCCAUCGCAAUUUAACUGUUUUGCAUAAAAUUUAAAAUGUCAUGCCCAAUUGGAAACGAAACACAGCAAAUAGAAUCCCAGGCGAAGAAUGAAGAAGCAAAACUAGAUUAUUCAAAAUACUUACAGCUUGAUACGUUGUUUUCAGCAAUGAACCUUCGAUCAAAAGUUCACGAUGAACAUUUGUUUAUAA
rnacentral:lncRNA from 1 species